rnacentral:rRNA from 1 species
GACGAACGCUGGCGGCGUGCCUAAUACAUGCAAGUCGAGCGAGCUUGCCUAGAUGAUUUUAGUGCUUGCACUAAAUGAAACUAGAUACAAGCGAGCGGCGGACGGGUGAGUAACACGUGGGUAACCUGCCCAAGAGACUGGGAUAACACCUGGAAACAGAUGCUAAUACCGGAUAACAACACUAGACGCAUGUCUAGAGUUUGAAAGAUGGUUCUGCUAUCACUCUUGGAUGGACCUGCGGUGCAUUAGCUAGUUGGUAAGGUAACGGCUUACCAAGGCAAUGAUGCAUAGCCGAGUUGAGAGACUGAUCGGCCACAUUGGGACUGAGACACGGCCCAAACUCCUACGGGAGGCAGCAGUAGGGAAUCUUCCACAAUGGACGAAAGUCUGAUGGAGCAACGCCGCGUGAGUGAAGAAGGGUUUCGGCUCGUAAAGCUCUGUUGGUAGUGAAGAAAGAUAGAGGUAGUAACUGGCCUUU